rnacentral:ncRNA from 1 species
AUUUUUGCAAUGAAGAAGUUUGUACCGCAAAUGGUGAAGGUUCUUAAGAGAGAAUACCAGUCGCUGGGAGGUAUUUGAACCCUUUGCGGGAAGUUUCGCUUCUGAGCAUUUCGGCUGAAACUGAGUAGGCCGAAACGUACGACCUGCGUUAUGUGUUUGAGUGAUUCGGCAUGAAUAUUUUUUUGUGUCGGGUAAGCAAGGUGGUACCGCGGAAUUUUCGUCCUUAUA